rnacentral:rRNA from 1 species
GACGAACGCUGGCGGCGUGCCUAACACAUGCAAGUCGAACGGAAAGGCCCUGCUUUUGUGGGGUGCUCGAGUGGCGAACGGGUGAGUAACACGUGAGUAUCCUGCCCUUGACUUUGGGAUAACUUCAGGAAACUGGGGCUCAUACCGGAUAGGAUCUCCUGCUGCAUGGUGGUGGUUGGAAAGUUUCGGCGGUUGGGGCUAGACUCGCGGCUUACCCGCUUGUUAGUGGGGUAGUGGCUUACAAAGUCUGUGACGGGUAGCCGGCCUGAGAGGGUAGACAGCGACAAUGGGACUGAGAGACGGAGCAGAAUCGAAUGGGCGGCAGCGGUGGGGAGUAUUACGGAACGAGCGGAAGCCUGAUGUGGAGACGCUCCGAGCGGGAUGACGUGUUACGAGUUGUGAACAGCUGUGGACUGUGACGAAGAGUGAGUGACGGUAAUGGGUAAGAAAGCACCGGCUAACUACGUG